AAGCCCUUUCAUCAAUAGGAGCGCAAACUCGUCUAUAAAAGGAGAGGCGCCAUCUCCGGCUUCUCCUUCGUUCGGAAUUCGAUCUGAGGCUUCAUCCAGGGUUAGGGUUCGAGAGUUCAGAGCCAGAGGUCAGGGACUCACUGAAACCUUCCCCCUGAGCUAUAGAAGCUAAGAAUGGUGAUGCCUCCCUCAUUGCAGAGACCAUGACUGAAGAGGAGUAAAAGUUAAUCGUAGCUCGAGAGCAAUAAGAGCUCGAGGUCAAGUUGGAACGUGACUUCAUGUUUGACAAGUUGGACGAGCUGCUCACACAAAGCCAGCUCUACUCUGAAAUUUUGCUCGAGAGAAUUGGAUGGCAUCGCUGCAACACUGCACGCAGUAAACAAAAGCUGAAGAAGAAGAAGGUAGUCCGAAAUAAGAAGAUGCUCUUAAAGGGAAGAAGGGUCGGAAGAGGAAGGCUGCUAGCUAGGAGUGCUUCAAGGUUCAAAGCGCAACACUUGUGUUUUUUAGGUUCUUAUACUGCAAAAAAUAAGGAUGUCAGUAAUUCGAAGGAUGCCAUUCUGGAAUUGUGUGAGGCAGACUCUUACUUCAUCAGUAUCAACAACAUUCACUAAAUUGCUCUUAUGACAUACUUUCAUGAGGCGAUUGUUCCUACCCAGGAAUGUUGCAUCUGUCAGUUAAGUGUGAAAACAAGAUUCAUACUUUUAUAAAGAUAGGACUGAGCUCAAAAAUGCCAAGAAGGUUUCCUCCACAUUCCAAAUCUUUAAUUAGCUGGCUGAUGUUAAUUUCUCUUUCUAUCUUUGGUUCAUGUACUAUGGUUUCCCAGCCUUUAUCUCCAUAUUCUAAACUUCUAAUUUUUAUUUAUUGCCAUUGGAGAGUGAAUUUUUGUCUUAACCCAGUCAUAGAAUAGACGAUUAACACUUGAAGGUCUGACGGUAAGUCUCUUGCUUAUUUUUGAUAUAUAUAUAUUUUAUUAAUGUUCUCGUUGGUCUGAUAUCAGUAAUAGAGUGAUAUUCAAGAGACUGGCUAAAACCAUUUUAAUCUGCAGGUAAAUGUAUGCUUCGGAAAUAUGGAAUAGUUAGGAUCACAUGAGGAAAGAUUAAACAUACAAAAUUAUAGUGUCAAAUACUUGAAGGCGUGGAAGUUUGAAUAAGCAUGGAUGUGCUUAGAAGCUGGCAAUGUGAAUGUUUGGGAGCAGAGGACAGGCUAAUAUUAUUUGCAUAACGAGAGAUAAUUGCAACUAAAGGGUUACUGCUCUCUUGCAUCUAAUCAGGUUAAUGAAGAAUAAAAAUCCAAGAUCACUUCUCUCAACAAAAGCCCUAAAAAUUUAAUGAAGAAUACAAGCAACAAGCCUAAAAGACCAAGCCCAAAAGCUCAAGAAAAAUAAAUAUACCAUUAAGGAACAAAUGAAGAAGUUUUGUGAAAAAGGAAACAAAUCAUGCAAUCUGAACAUCUCGAUAAUGUUUGGUGUUUUGGUCAUAUCUCUCUCGUAUCAACUCGGAACUGGCUGAAUAAACAUUCUCUGGAAAGCUGAGAACGAGAUCUAUAACUUUUGUAUUUAUGAUAUCUCUAAAAUCGGAACAUAUCAUGAACAAAUAUUCGUACAAAGAAGCACAAUCUGAAUUUCUGCGCUGGAGAAGUAAUUAUGGGAAGAAUUUGAAAGUUAAUGAAGAAUAAAGCCCAAGAUCUCUUCUUUCAACAAAAACCCAUUGAAUUAAUGAAGAAAACAAGCAAAAGG